AUGAUACGCGAGGAACCUUUACCAGGGUUUGACAUAUAGAGGAAUACGUAAGAGAUUACGUAGCUGCUUGCAGUCUUUAUACAGGUGCUGCAUGGCUGUCGUCAGCUCGUGCUGUGAAGUGUUGGUUAAGUCCCGCAACGAGCGCAACCCUUUUGUCUGUUACCAUCAAGUAAUGUUGGGACUCAGACGGUACUGCCGGUGACAAACCGGAGGAAGGUGGGGACGACGUCAAGUCAUCAUGGCCCUUAUACCCUGGGCUACACACGUGCUACAAUGGCAGGUACAGAGUGAUGCGAAGCAGCGAUGCGGAGCAAAUCGCAGAAAACCUGUCUCAGUACAGAUUGGAGUCUGAAACUCGACUCCAUGAAGGUGGAAUCGCUAGUAAUCGCGCAUCAGCAUGGCGCGGUGAAUACGUUCCCGGGCCUU
rnacentral:rRNA from 1 species